AUUGCAAAAGUGUGACUCUAGGUGGCAAUAAAGACCACAGCUUCUUAACCACCCUUAACUUGGUAGUGAAUCAAAAUGCUAGCGGUUUGCAAACUAUUUGGUCUACUCGACACCCACUUUUCAUGGAUUCAGUUUGGAAUAUGGAGCAUGGUUAUGCAAACCAAAGGGCAUCACCAAGGUUUUUCAGCUCCGGCACAUGCCGAGUGCAAAAGGUUUUCUUUUGUAUUAUCAGCUAUAAUAUUUCCAUAUCCAUGCAGCUCACACACUACCACAAAGACGUUAUGUAUAAUGCACAUUCUUUGCUUUUCUAAAUUUCUUCCUUUCUCAUUUUCUAUAAGAAACAAUUACCCUUGCUUUCGUGGAACCAUACCUGGUUCCUUUGAUUAAGAAGAUUUCUCGAAAAAGAAAACGAAGUGAAAGAUUUUUCAAGUCAAGUCAUGCAGACAUAUAUAGAGAAAUUGCUACUGUAUUGGAAAGAGACUGGUUAAAAUGGAGUUAAUGAAAUACCUGGACCCUUUUAGCCCAACCUACUUUUAGCCUAUAAACAGCGGGUUCUUUUCCCUUAUGAG